AGACCCCUUCCCACAUGUCCACGCAGCCACAAUCCAAAUCCUAAUCCUCCUAUUCUACCUCCCAACACCCCAAAGGCCGAAGCCACCAUCUGUUAGGGUUUCUCCUUUAGCGCCGCCGCCGCCAGCACGAUCUAUAGCCACUGUAAUCCAUCCUCUUCUCCGCUUGCUGGAUAGAGAUCUCCAUCGACGCUGAAGCACUCUCUUCCAAGCUUCUCGACCUGCCAUUGAGCGCAAAAUUUCCACAACCGAGGGGCCUCUCCUGCCUCCGAGCCCUCGGCCUCCCCGAGCUGCCUCUCCCGCUGAUGAGCGCGGCUUCGCCACCGACUCCCCAAGUUUCUUCUCGCACGUCUGACUGCCUCCCCGAGAUGUCGCGACAUCACCACUGAAGCCCACCCGCUGCUCCUCUCCUUACCGGAGCAUAUCUUUGGUACCGACACAACACCGAUGCUCUACUUCAGCCACUUUCCAUCAGAGGUAUGUGGCCUAUGAAUAUGCCAACUUAGAUAUGUUGAAAAAGAAGAUCGAUGUCUAGAAUUUUGGCGUGCUGCCAUUGGAAUCAGUGGCUCGGAGGGAUCCUAUAUAUUGUUGUAAGCCAAGAAAUGAGAUGCAUCCGGUGGCGUGGCUCAAGAUGAUGAUGGGCACGAGGAGAGUUAUGAGUGCCGAAGGAGUGUUUGGAAGUGUUUUGUUGUGCAAAACAUAUGUUAUAUCAGAAGGUUUGAACUUUGAACAGCAAGAGCAGCACAAUGGGAAUCGUCAUCGUGGUGGACAAAACUGAUGUUCCUCAUCCCCCUUUCCCUAUAAGUUUGAGUCACUCUCAUGCAUCUUCAUGGCUUGCUUCUCAUCUGUGAUCCUUCAUGCUCUCAGAAGUUUGGAAGAGGAAGAUAAUGAAAGCCAUAUCUAGAAUAGCUAGAUGAUGUAGAGAUGUACCUUUUCUUUGAUUGGUGUGACUAUUGGUAUCAUUGGUUUGUUUUAUUUAGUGUUGAAUGUAUCAAACUUGUAUGUAAUAUCAUAUUUGCCUGUGUUGUGAUUUCGAA